rnacentral:rRNA from 1 species
ACCUGAUGCAGCCAUGCCGCGUGUGUGAAGAAGGCCUUCGGGUUGUAAAGCACUUUCAGUUGUGAGGAAAAGUUAGUAGUUAAUACCUGCUAGCCGUGACGUUAACAACAGAAGAAGCACCGGCUAACUCCGUGCCAGCAGCCGCGGUAAUACGGAGGGUGCGAGCGUUAAUCGGAAUUACUGGGCGUAAAGCGCACGCAGGCGGUUUGUUAAGCUAGAUGUGAAAGCCCCGGGCUCAACCUGGGAUAGUCAUUUAGAACUGGCAGACUAGAGUCUUGGAGAGGGGAGUGGAAUUCCAGGUGUAGCGGUGAAAUGCGUAGAUAUCUGGAGGAACAUCAGUGGCGAAGGCGACUCCCUGGCCAAAGACUGACGCUCAUGUGCGAAAGUGUGGGUAGCGAACAGGAUUAGAUACCCUGGUAGUCCACACCGUAAACGCUGUCUACUAGCUGUUUGUGACUUUAAGUCGUGAGUAGCGAAGCUAACGCGCUAAGUAGACCGCCUGGGGAGUACGGCCGCAAGGUUAAAACUCAAU